CAAAGGGAUACUCAAAGUUCAUCACCAGAACUUUGAGCAGACCGAGCUAAACCCUGACAAACCAAACACGAAAGUAAGAAGAAGGAAAGGCCGAAAACUAAGCGGAAAUAAGAGAAGAGCUCGCACACAAAGAAAGACACUUACUUGAGGUUUUCAUUUCAUGUUGUUGGAAUCGGAGACGAGUUUUGCUAGGAUCUACCGAGAUCCCAAAUGAUGAACACUGCAUGUUCAUCUUUGAUUCCAGAUUUUUUUAGGGGUUUUUUUAUGUGAGACUCGAGUUCAUUUUCUGUUUUAGAAGAAGGCGAUUAGGUUUGGGUUUUGAAGAAGAAUUAAGAAGAGAGAAGAUGCAGAGAAGAGAAUGGAAAUUGAUAUCUUUGUGUGUUGUUUAUGAGUAUUGAACACACUUAAAAAAUAGUUUAUUGUUGUUAAUGAUAGAAUUAGGGAUAUAAUUGUUAAUGAAUAAUUAAUUAUUUUCGUAUGUUA